GUAGGGAAUCUUCGGCAAUGGACGAAAGUCUGACCGAGCAACGCCGCGUGAGUGAAGAAGGUUUUCGGAUCGUAAAACUCUGUUGUUAGAGAAGAACAAGGAUGAGAGUAAAAUGUUCAUCCCUUGACGGUAUCUAACCAGAAAGCCACGGCUAACUACGUGCCAGCAGCCGCGGUAAUACGUAGGUGGCAAGCGUUGUCCGGAUUUAUUGGGCGUAAAGCGAGCGCAGGCGGUUUCUUAAGUCUGAUGUGAAAGCCCCCGGCUCAACCGGGGAGGGUCAUUGGAAACUGGGAGACUUGAGUGCAGAAGAGGAGAGUGGAAUUCCAUGUGUAGCGGUGAAAUGCGUAGAUAUAUGGAGGAACACCAGUGGCGAAGGCGGCUCUCUGGUCUGUAACUGACGCUGAGGCUCGAAAGCGUGGGGAGCGAACAGG
rnacentral:rRNA from 1 species